rnacentral:lncRNA from 1 species
UGAAGCAUCAGAGCCAUCUAGCAUGGCUUCGGACGCAACUUCUGACAUUGGCUCGGAGGAUGGUGCCUCAACAGCAGCACCGUCCGAGAGCGAAGAGGCAAACUCACUGUCCGAUAGUCUGUCCACCCUGACCACAGACGACGCCACCUCAAAUGCUCCAGCUGCAGAAAACGGGAACGACGCCACCCCAAAUGCUCUACCUGCAGGAAACGGGAACGACGCCACCCCAAAUGCCCCACCUGCGGAAAACGGGAACGACGCCACCCCAAAUGCUCCACCUGCAGAAAACGGGAACAACGCCACAUGAUCCUGAUGGUUAUAUGAUCGUUUGUAGCGCUGUCCAUCUUUAGCUUUAUACACACAAGGGGAUUGGUACUUCCCUGUUGCCCGCACAAAGUCGCUGCUACC